GGGCCCGCACAAGCGGUGGAGUAUGUGGUUUAAUUCGACGCAACGCGAAGAACCUUACCAAGACUUGACAUACCAAUGAUCGGUUCAGAGAUGAAUCUUCCUUCGGGCAUUGGAUACAGGUGGUGCAUGGUUGUCGUCAGCUCGUGUCGUGAGAUGUUGGGUUAAGUCCCGCAACGAGCGCAACCCUUAUUUUCAGUAGCCAUCAGGUUAAGCUGGGCACUCUGGAAAGACUGCCGUGGAUAACACGGAGGAAGGUGGGGAUGAGGUCAAAUCAUCAUGCCCCUUAUGUCUUGGGCUACACACGUACUACAAUGGGCGAGACAAAGUGAAGCGAGCAGGCGACUGUAAGCAAAAGCACAAAAACUCGUUCCCAGUUCGGAUUGCAGGCUGCAACUCGCCUGCAUGAAGUUGGAAUCGCUAGUAAUCGCGAAUCAGCAUGUCG
rnacentral:rRNA from 1 species